rnacentral:rRNA from 1 species
UAGCUACAGGCUUAACACAUGCAAGUCGAGGGGCUGCAUGGUCUUAGCUUGCUAAGGCCGAUGGCGACCGGCGCACGGGUGAGUAACACGUAUCCAACCUGCCGUCUACUCUUGGACAGCCUUCUGAAAGGAAGAUUAAUACAAGAUGGCAUCAUGAGUCCGCAUGUUCACAUGAUUAAAGGUAUUCCGGUAGACGAUGGGGAUGCGUUCCAUUAGAUAGUAGGCGGGGUAACGGCCCACCUAGUCUUCGAUGGAUAGGGGUUCUGAGAGGAAGGUCCCCCACAUUGGAACUGAGACACGGUCCAAACUCCUACGGGAGGCAGCAGUGAGGAAUAUUGGUCAAUGGGCGAGAGCCUGAACCAGCCAAGUAGCGUGAAGGAUGACUGCCCUAUGGGUUGUAAACUUCUUUUAUAAAGGAAUAAAGUCGGGUAUGGAUACCCGUUUGCAUGUACUUUAUGAAUAAGGAUCGGCUAACUCCGUGCCAGCAGCCGCGGUAAUACGGAGGAUCCGAGCGUUAUCCGGAUUUAUUGGGUUUAAAGGGAGCGUAGAUGGAUGUUUAAGUCAGUUGUGAAAGUUUGCGGCUCAACCGUAAAAUUGCAGUUGAUACUGGAUAUCUUGAGUGCAGUUGAGGCAGGCGGAAUUCGUGGUGUAGCGGUGAAAUGCUUAGAUAUCACGAAGAACUCCGAUUGCGAAGGCAGCCUGCUAAGCUGCAACUGACAUUGAGGCUCGAAAGUGUGGGUAUCAAACAGGAUUAGAUACCCUGGUAGUCCACACGGUAAACGAUGAAUACUCGCUGUUUGCGAUAUACUGCAAGCGGCCAAGCGAAAGCGUUAAGUAUUCCACCUGGGGAGUACGCCGGCAACGGUGAAACUCAAAGGAAUUGACGGGGGCCCGCACAAGCGGAGGAACAUGUGGUUUAAUUCGAUGAUACGCGAGGAACCUUACCCGGGCUUAAAUUGCAGAUGAAUUACGGUGAAAGCCGUAAGCCGCAAGGCAUCUGUGAAGGUGCUGCAUGGUUGUCGUCAGCUCGUGCCGUGAGGUGUCGGCUUAAGUGCCAUAACGAGCGCAACCCUUGUUGUCAGUUACUAACAGGUUCCGCUGAGGACUCUGACAAGACUGCCAUCGUAAGAUGUGAGGAAGGUGGGGAUGACGUCAAAUCAGCACGGCCCUUACGUCCGGGGCUACACACGUGUUACAAUGGGGGGUACAGAGGGCCGCUACCACGCGAGUGGAUGCCAAUCCCCAAAACCUCUCUCAGUUCGGACUGGAGUCUGCAACCCGACUCCACGAAGCUGGAUUCGCUAGUAAUCGCGCAUCAGCCACGGCGCGGUGAAUACGUUCCCGGGCCUUGUACACACCGCCCGUCAAGCCAUGGGAGCCGGGGGUACCUGAAGUGCGUAACCGCGAGGAGCGCCCUAGGGUAAAACUGGU